UACGUAGGGUGCGAGCGUUAAUCGGAAUUACUGGGCGUAAAGGGUGCGCAGGCGGUUAUAUAAGACAGAUGUGAAAUCCCCGGGCUCAACCUGGGAACUGCGUUUGUGACUGUAUGACUAGAGUACGGUAGAGAGGGGUGGAAUUCCUGGUGUAGCAGUGAAAUGCGUAGAUAUCAGGAGAACAUCGAUGGCGAAGGCAGCCCCUUGGACCUGUACUGACGCUCAUGCACGAAAGCGUGGGGAGCAAACAGG
rnacentral:rRNA from 1 species